rnacentral:tRNA from 1 species
UGGCUCAGAGGUUAAAGCGUCUGCCUCCAAUGCAGGAGACCCAGGUUUGAUCCCUGG